GUUCCAGUCAAGAGCAGCAUGUCUUCAAAAGAACUGUGAAUGUACCUAUGGGCACAUGAAGCUGAUCAGAAUCAAAUAGGCAGGAAGCAGGCUGAGAAAGCUGUUUGGCCCCCAAGGAGACAUGUCCUCCAAUGCUUACUUCAGAGGUGGCCAAGGAAAUUAAAGUUGAAAAGAACAAUCACUAGUGUUUGAGGUGAUCAAGAAGAGUCUCUCACCAGCAUGUGUUUUAGGGAGCGCAACGGUUUGAGGG